rnacentral:rRNA from 1 species
AUGGUUCCAUUGCAAAGAACACCGGGAUGUUGGGUUGAAGAGCUACCAUCUGAGCUAUGGAGUAUCAACACUACGCCCAACCGAUCUACAGGAUACACACCAUUUUUUAUGGUCUACGGAGCAGAGGCGGUUCUCCCUAGUGAUAUCCGGCACGAUUCGCCUCGUGUGGUGGCUUAUGUUGAAGCGGACAAUGAGACAGCAGGGCAAGAUGCUUUGGACCUAUUAGAUGAGGAGCGUGACAUAGCGGCUGCCUGCUCGGCGAUUUAUCAACAAGAUCUUCGUCGCUAUCACAGUCGCCGGGUCAGAACCAGAACUUUUCAAGAAGGAGAUUUGGUGCUUCGGCUCAUCCAAGAUCAGACGGAUAUGCACAAGUUAUCCCCACCUUGGGAGGGACCUUUCGUGGUCAGCAAGAAUCUGCACAACGGGUCGUACUAUGUGAUUGAUAUUCGAGAGCAUAAAGACUCACUCACAUCAGAGGAGGAGACCAACAGGCCGUGGAAUAUAGCUCAUCUUCAGCCUUACUACACUUGA